AGGACGAACGCUGGCGGCGUGCUUAACACAUGCAAGUCGAGCGAUGAAGCUCCUUCGGGAGUGGAUUAGCGGCGGACGGGUGAGUAACACGUGGGCAACCUGCCUUGUAGAGAGGAAUAGCCAUUCGAAAGGAUGAUUAACACCUCAUAAUAUUGUAGCUUCGCAUGAAGCAACAACCAAAGGAGCAAUCCACUACAAGAUGGGCCCGCGGCGCAUUAGCUAGUUGGUGGGGUAACGGCUCACCAAGGCGACGAUGCGUAGCCGACCUGAGAGGGUGAUCGGCCACAUUGGGACUGAGACACGGCCCAGACUCCUACGGGAGGCAGCAGUGGGGAAUAUUGCACAAUGGGGGAAACCCUGAUGCAGCCAACGCCGCGUGAGUGAUGACGGUCUUCGGAUUGUAAAGCUCUGUCUUCAGGGACGAUAAUGACGGUACCUGAGGAGGAAGCCACGGCUAACUACGUGCCAGCCGCCGC
rnacentral:rRNA from 1 species